rnacentral:rRNA from 1 species
GAUGAACGCUAGCGGGAGGCCUAACACAUGCAAGCAGAGCGGUAUUGUUUCUUCGGAAAUGAGAGAGCGGAGUACGGGUGCGUAACACGUGUGCAACCUGCCUUUAUCUGGGGGAUAGCCUUUCGAAAGGAAGAUUAAUACUCCAUAAUAUAUUGAACGGCAUCGUUUAAUAUUGAAAGCUCAGUCGGAUAGAGAUGGGCACGCGCAAGAUUAGCCAGUUGGUGAGGUAACGGCUCACCAAGGCGAUGAUCUUUAGGGGGCCUGAGAGGGUGAUCCCCCACACUGGCACUGAGACACGGACCAGACUCCUACGGGAGGCAGCAGUGAGGAAUAUUGGUCAAUGGGUACAAGACUGAACCAGCCAACCCGCGUGAAGGACGACUGCCCUAUGGGUUGUAAACUUCUUUUGAAUAGGGAUAAACCUACCCUCGUGAGAGUAGCUGAAGGUACUAUACGAAUAAGCACCGGCUAACUCCGUG